rnacentral:lncRNA from 1 species
AAACAAUUGAAGAUCCAAGUGACUUCAAGAAAAAUGACUAUGCCAAUGGGAAUUCCGCAGAGAUUGCAGCAACGGUACAAGUGAAUUUCUCCAGUCAUGGGUUUACAUUUUGGGGGAAAACCUACGAGUUUAAGGAAACAAAUGAAAGGCCUUCUGGUUUGAAUAUUUAUUUUAAUGAGGAGAAAGCCCAUUUGGAUGAAAAAGGCUCAAAUACGUUUGUUUCUCUUGUGAUCCUUGGAGUUUGUGGGUGUUUUCAAGGUCUACAAAUUAAAAUUAGUUGUGACAAUGGCAUGAGAAACACAAGCAACUUUAGAAGAUACUCCAUACUGACUGCUGUUCAACUGUUUGUAAUACUUUAUUCAGUUAGGUAUAUUGGAUAGAAAAUGCAGGUAAGUCUACUAUACCAAAUACAUUAUUAAAUUUAUGAUUAUGGAUGCCUGGUUGCAAAUUUUUAAAUAGGCUUUGUACUGGAUAUUACUUUGUUUUAACACAGUAGAAUAUUAUUUUUAACUACCAGAGGAAAUUAAAUUUGACUUCAAUUAGAGAAAGUUGAGGGAAUUAAGGCCUCUAUAAUAUGUAACAAAGAAAAGUAUUGAAAUCUAGAAAAUUAGAAAGAUAUUAUAAAAAGAUGCUAUAUUAAGAGUAUUAAAUUAUAAUUUCACUUCUAAGGGAAAUGACUUACCAGACUCUGCUAUAAAAGGGGAAUAUAGAUAUUCUGAAAAUGAAGUAAGAGAUGAAAGAAACAGAAUAUAAAGAGUUACUUAGAGUUUAAAAAAGCAAAUUGAAGUAGAAAGCCAAAUAUAGAAUGAGUUUAUUGUUCAUAAAUAUCUAUUAAGAUUAUAAUAAAAAAGCAUUUACAAAGAUAUCA